CGGAUAGAGGUCGCGGAUUUUAUGAGUAAAGCAAAGGAGACUGCCGAAGUCGUUUGAUUUUGUGUUGAAAGGAAAAUUUGCCGAAGGGGAACUGCUUCCGGCAGCGUUUGCCCUGAGCCUGUAUUGAAGAAGUACAGGAUUGUCAUCAAGUUAUUGAUGGAGAGCUAUCG
rnacentral:ncRNA from 1 species